AACGAACGUUGGCGGCGUGGAUGAGGCAUGCAAGUCGAACGCGAAAGCCGCAAGGUGAGUAGAGUGGCGGACGGGCGAGUAACACGUAAUCAAGCUACCUGCGAGACGGGGAUAACUUCGGGAAACCGAAGCUAAGACCCGAUGGUCUGCCGGGACCGCAUGGUUUUGGUAGUAAAUGGGCGGGAUCCUUUGGGAUCGCCUGCUCGCAGAGGUGAUUGCGGCCCAUCAGCUAGUUGGUAGGGUAACGGCCUACCAAGGCAACGACGGGUAGCCGGCCUUAGAGGGUGGUCGGCCGCACUGGGACUGAGACACUGCCCAGACUCCUACGGGAGGCUGCAGUCGAGAAUCUUCCGCAAUGGGCGAAAGCCUGACGGGGCGACGCCGCGUGGAGGACGAAGGCCUUCGGGUUGUAAACGUCCUGUCACGAGUUAAGAAGGUGGUUCUUCGAACAGAGGGAUCAUUUGACGUAAGCUCGAGAGGAAGCACUGGCUAACUCUAGUGCCAGCAGCCGCGGUAAU
rnacentral:rRNA from 1 species